UUGAACGCUGGCGGCAUGCCUUACACAUGCAAGUCGAACGGUAACAGGUCUUCGGAUGCUGACGAGUGGCGAACGGGUGAGUAAUACAUCGGAACGUGCCCGAGAGUGGGGGAUAACGGAGCGAAAGCUUUGCUAAUACCGCAUACGAUCUACGGAUGAAAGCAGGGGACCGCAAGGCCUUGCGCUCAUGGAGCGGCCGAUGGCAGAUUAGGUAGUUGGUGGGAUAAAAGCUUACCAAGCCGACGAUCUGUAGCUGGUCUGAGAGGACGACCAGCCACACUGGGACUGAGACACGGCCCAGACUCCUACGGGAGGCAGCAGUGGGGAAUUUUGGACAAUGGGCGCAAGCCUGAUCCAGCCAUGCCGCGUGCAGGAUGAAGGCCUUCGGGUUGUAAACCGCUUUCAGCCGGAAAGAAAUCGCCACUUCUAAUACGAGUGGUGGAUGACGGUACCGGAAGAAGAAGCACCGGCUAACUACGU
rnacentral:rRNA from 1 species